rnacentral:rRNA from 1 species
CCCGGGCGACCGGCGCACGGGUGAGUAACACGUAUGCAACCUGGCCGCCACAGGGGGAUAACCCGCGGAAACGCGGCCUAAUACCCCGUGACGCCACCGGAGGGCAUCCUCCGGUGGCCAAAGGAGCGAUCCGGUGGCGGAUGGGCAUGCGGCGCAUUAGCUAGACGGCGGGGUGACGGCCCACCGUGGCGACGAUGCGUAGGGGUUCUGAGAGGAAGGCCCCCCACACUGGGACUGAGACACGGCCCAGACUCCUACGGGAGGCAGCAG